rnacentral:piRNA from 1 species
GCACAGACAAGAGAACCUGGCGGC